rnacentral:rRNA from 1 species
CACGUAGGCACCAAGCGUUGUCCGGAUUUAUUGGGCGUAAAGAGCUCGUAGGCGGUUCAGUAAGUCAGGUGUGAAAUCUUUGGGCUUAACCCAAAGCGUGCACUUGAUACUGCUGUGACUUGAGUUCGGUAGGGGAGUGGGGAAUUCCUAGUGUAGCGGUGAAAUGCGCAGAUAUUAGGAGGAACACCGGUGGCGAAGGCGCCACUCUGGGCCGAAACUGACGCUGAGGAGCGAAAGCGUGGGUAGCAAACAGG